AUUGAACGCUGGCGGCAGGCCUAACACAUGCAAGUCGAGCGGAUGAAGGGAGCUUGCUCCUGGAUUCAGCGGCGGACGGGUGAGUAAUGCCUAGGAAUCUGCCUGGUAGUGGGGGAUAACGUCCGGAAACGGGCGCUAAUACCGCAUACGUCCUGAGGGAGAAAGUGGGGGAUCUUCGGACCUCACGCCAUCAGAUAAGCCUAGGUCGGAUUAGCUAGUUGGUGGGGUAAAGGCCUACCAAGGCGACGAUCCGUAACUGGUCUGAGAGGAUGAUCAGUCACACUGGAACUGAGACACGGUCCAGACUCCUACGGGAGGCAGCAGUGGGGAAUAUUGGACAAUGGGCGAAAGCCUGAUCCAGCCAUGCCGCGUGUGUGAAGAAGGUCUUCGGAUUGUAAAGCACUUUAAGUUGGGAGGAAGGGCAGUAAGUUAAUACCUUGCUGUUUUGACGUUACCAACAGAAUAAGCACCGGCUAACUUCGUG
rnacentral:rRNA from 1 species